rnacentral:rRNA from 1 species
CCUACGGGAGGCUGCAGUGGGGAAUAUUGCACAAUGGGGGAAACCCUGAUGCAGCGACGCCGCGUGAGUGAAUAAGUAUCUCGGUAUGUAAAGCUCUAUCAGCAGGGAAGAAAAUGACGGUACCUGACUAAGAAGCCCCGGCUAACUACGGGCCAGCAGCCGCGGUCAUACGUAGGGGGCAAGCGUUAUCCGGAUUUACUGGGGGUAAAGGGAGCGUAAACGGCGCUGCAAGUCCGGAGUGAAAGCCCAUGGCUUAACCAUGGUACUGCUCUGGAAACUGUGGAGCUUGAGUGCGGGAGGGGCAGGCGGAAUGCCUAGUGUAGCGGUGAAAUGCGUAGAUAUUAGGCGGAACACCGGUGGCGAAGGCAGCCUGCUGGACCGUAACUGACGUUGAGGCACGAAAGCGUGGGGAGCGAACAGGAUUAGAUACCCUGGUAGUC